rnacentral:rRNA from 1 species
AACGAACGCUGGCGGCGUGGAUAAGACAUGCAAGUCGAACGGAACUUUGGAAUAGCUUGCUAAUUCAAAGUUUAGUGGCGGACGGGUGCGUAACACGUGAGCAACUUGCCCCAAAGCGGGGGAUAGCCCACCGAAAGGUGGAUUAAUACCGCAUGUGAACUUCGGUUUAAAGGUGCCUUCGGGUGCCGCUUUGGGAUGGGCUCGCGGCCUAUCAGCUUGUUGGUGAGGUAACGGCUCACCAAGGCGACGACGGGUAGCCGGCCUGAGAGGAUGAUCAGCCACACUGGAACUGAGACACGGUCCAGACACCUACGGGUGGCAGCAGUCGAGAAUCAUUCACAAUGGACGAAAGUCUGAUGGUGCAACGCCGCGUGGAGGAUGAAGGCCCUAGGGUCGUAAACUCCUGUCAUCAGGGAGUAGGCCUUGUUCGUUAAUAGCGUUCAAGGUUGAUAGUACCUGAAGAGGAAGGGACGGCUAACUUCGUGCCAGCAGCCGCGGUAAUACGAAGGUCCCAAGUGUUGUUCGGAAUCACUGGGCGUAAAGAGUAUGUAGGCGGCGCGGAAAGUCAGAUGUGAAAUCCCGGGGCUCAACCCCGGAACUGCAUCCGAUACUCCCGUGCUAGAGUAAUGGAGGGGUAGAUGGAAUUCUCGGUGUAGCAGUGAAAUGCGUGGAUAUCGAGAGGAAGACUUGUGGCGAAGGCGAUCUACUGGACAUUUACUGACGCUGAGAUACGAAGGCUAGGGUAGCGAAAGGGAUUAGAUACCCCUGUAGUCCUAGCAGUAAACGGUGUGCGCUUGGUGUGGGAGGAUUCGACCCCUUCCGUGCCGGAGCUAACGCGUUAAGCGCACCGCCUGGGGAGUACGGUCGCAAGACUA